CUUGCUGCAGCCGCGCAACAAGGGCCGCCCCGCCCUAUAGCCACGCCUCCAGCGGUAAACCCCUCCCAAGUUUGUCAUACCCCGGCCCCGCCUCUAGCGGAAGCAGCUGCGGGCAUCUGCGCAGUGGGGAGAACGCGGCGCCACUGUGCAGAUUCGGAGACCUGUGAUCUGGUUCCCUCCUGGCAGCGGAAGAUGAAAAGUGUUAAGCGCGCUCCAGUCUUGUGCUGAUGGCGGCGAUGCUCUUUGUUUUCUCAGGGCGACCCUGUCACUGAAAGGUGACUGAUGAUUCUAAGUUGUUUCCAGGAAUUGAAGGGCAUCUACAAGUGAAAUUAUAGAUAGGUCUCAGUUGCCCUUGCCAAGGUUUCCUGUUGUACAGCACAUCUGCAAG